UACGUAGGGUGCAAGCGUUAAUCGGAAUUACUGGGCGUAAAGCGUGCGCAGGCGGUUUUGUAAGUUUGUCGUGAAAUCCCCGGGCUCAACCUGGGAAUGGCGAUGAAGACUGCAAGGCUAGAAUCUGGCAGAGGGGGGGUAGAAUUCCACGUGUAGCAGUGAAAUGCGUAGAGAGUGUGGAGGAACACCGAUGGCGAAGGCAGCCCCCCUGGGUCAAGAUUGACGCUCAUGCGACGAAAGCGUGGGGAGCGGAUCCGG
rnacentral:rRNA from 1 species